AAGUCGUAACAAGGUUUCCGUAGGUGAACCUGCGGAAGGAUCAUUAAUGAAAUAUAAACUUGGUAGGCUGUUGCUGGCUUUCUUAGCAUGUGCACGUUUAUCAUCUUUUUUAAUCCACCUGUGCACCUUUUGUAGGCCUUUGAUUUUUUGGGACUGCUGUUUUUAAACACAAAAUGUUUAUCAGCUUUCCCUUUUAUUUUUUCAAGCCUAUGUUUUUAUACACACCAGAAAUAUAUUGGAAUGCUGUAUGUUAGGUCAUUUGUGCCUACAAUAAACCAGUACAACUUUCAGCAACGGAUCUCUUGGCUCUCGCAUCGAUGAAGAACGCAGCGAAAUGCGAUAAGUAAUGUGAAUUGCAGAAUUCAGUGAAUCAUCGAAUCUUUGAACGCACCUUGCGCUCCUUGGUAUUCUGAGGAGCAUGCCUGUUUGAGUAUCGUGAAAUUGUCAACUGUGUCACUUUUAUAAGUGAUUUACAGAUUGGAUAUGGGAGUUUUUGCAGGCCUAGUUUGUCAGCUCUCCUGAAACACAUUAGCAGUGCCUUGCUGGUCCUUGGGUGUGAUAAUUUAUCUAUGCCUUGACGUGUACCUUCAUAAAGGUUGUGCUGCUUCCAAUAGUCUUUGGACACAUUUAUUGAAGAUUUGAUCUCAAAUCAGGCAGGACUACCCGCUGAACUUAAGCAUAUCAAUAAGCGGAGGAAAAGAAACUAACAAGGAUUCCCCUAGUAACUGCGAGUGAAGCGGGAAAAGCUCAAAUUUGUAAUCUGGCGGUCCUUGACCGUCCGAGUUGUAAUCUAGAGAAGUGCUACCUGUGCUGGACCGUGUACAAGUCUCCUGGAAUGGAGCAUCACAGAGGGUGAGAAUCCCGUCUUUGACACGGACUGCCUGUGCGUUGUGGUGCGCUCUCGAAGAGUCGAGUUGUUUGGGAAUGCAGCUCAAAAUGGGUGGUAAAUGCCAUCUAAAGCUAAAUAUUGGCGAGAGACCGAUAGCGAACAAGUACCGUGAGGGAAAGAUGAAAAGAACUUUGGAAAGAGAGUUAAACAGUACGUGAAAUUGCUGAAAGGGAAACGCUUGAAGUCAGUCGCGUCGGCUGGAAAUCAGCCUUGCUUUUGCUUGGUGUACUUUCUUGUUGAUGGGUCAGCAUCAAUUUCGACCGUCGGAUAAAGUCGUCGGGAAUGUGGCAUCUUUGGAUGUGUUAUAGCCUGGCGUCGCAUACGGUGGUUGGGAUUGAGGAACUCAGCACGCCGCAAGGCCGGGUCUCUUGACCACGUCCGUGCUUAGGAUGCUGGCAUAAUGGCUUUAAUCGACC
rnacentral:rRNA from 1 species